GCGUUCAACCUCACGUAGUCACGCAAACUCACUUCCAUCGUCACAGAAAUUUCCUACUUUGCCACCAAUGGAGUCGCUUCACCCUUUGCACUGUGUUCCUUUAGUUUUGUGAUUGGAAGGACAAGAAUUGAUGUAAGGAGUAAAUCAGUUAAAUGUGAUUCACUAUCAUCAUUUGGCAUUUGAUUUAUGCGGUAGUGUUAUUCAUGAGCAAUAGAAUUUUUUAAUUUUUCAUACAAUAGCUAGGCCUGUUGAACAUCCUCUGAGAUCCCUAUGAUAGAUCUAACACCGGACAGACAACAGGUGGAGAUAAUAAAGUAUUCCUACAUCCUCAAGCAAUUCUCGAAAAUCCUUUCUGCGGUGGUCUUGGUAAGUGCUUUUAUAUGACUUAUAUAUCUAAAAAAUCUAUCGACAAUGGCAUGUUGACUGAAUUUGUUUGUUAAGUAUGUGAUUUUGUUUGAUUGUGUAUGCUGAUUUUUUUGUUAUUCUUUUUAAUCUAAAUCUGCUUCAUUUUUAUAAUUAUUGUUUGUAUCUAAAUGUCGCUUGGCUAAUUCUUUUUCCUACAUUGUCCAAAUUCUUCCCUUUUACCAUUGCUAUCCUAGCUAUAGAACUUAGCUCAUUGGUCCAUUAAUGAAAGUUGUUGUGGCCUUUUUCCUCAGUUUUUUAAAAUUUAAACAUGAUUUUUAACUUGCUAUUCAAAUUUCUGAUUUUUCCCAUAAGUAAUGCUCAACUAUCCUCAUUCUUCUCAUAUACUUUUUUCUGUUAUUUUUAUUUUGCUUCCGAGCUAUAUAAUUUCAAUAGCAUUACUCUCCCUUCAUCUUGCAUACAGAUUUAUUGAUCUGUGUAUGGAAAUUGUCGUCUUCAUUUUCAUCGAUUGUGGUCUAUAGUCAGGUUUAGCUUAUUAUUUAAUGCCUCGCUGAUGGAUAGGAUUUGAUAAUUGAUGACAAUUUUUUUUGCUAUAUUAAAGUCUUAGACCACUCUUCAUUAAGACUUUUUACUUACUUUUUCGAUUAAUUACAACUUAUAUUACUAAUCAUAUCCAUGUACUACACAUUGAACUUGAUUUGUCCGUGCAUAAUAUGUUCAUAUUGAAAUGAUCUCACAAGGCAUACUUUUUCACUUUGCUCCUCCUGAUUUUAUUAUUGACUUUGAUUUUUUAUUAUAGAUUUGUAUCUUCGGUAUGAAAAAGCCUGUUGUAACUGUGUCUAUGUUUUUUAAGCAUUUUAAUAUGCAUUUAUGAGAACAUAUAUCUCUGUUUAUUUAUGAAUUCUAUGGACCAUUAGUGGAUUUUACCUGCUAUAAAGAUAUAUAUGAUAGACUUUUCUAUUUUCUUGCACAUGCUAUUAACUUAGAAAUAUAAUGGCACUUGAAUAUGGUCAUGUCUCAAACUUACUUCAAAAUAAAAAGUUGUUCUGGA